GCAGCCUGAUCCAGCCAUGCCGCGUGCAGGAUGACGGUCCUAUGGAUUGUAAACUGCUUUUGUACGAGAAGAAACACUCCUAUGUAUAGGAGCUUGACGGUAUCGUAAGAAUAAGGAUCGGCUAACUCCGUGCCAGCAGCCGCGGUAAUACGGAGGAUCCAAGCGUUAUCCGGAAUCAUUGGGUUUAAAGGGUCCGUAGGCGGUUUAGUAAGUCAGUGGUGAAAGCCCAUCGCUCAACGGUGGAACGGCCAUUGAUACUGCUGAACUUGAAUUAUUAGGAAGUAACUAGAAUAUGUAGUGUAGCGGUGAAAUGCUUAGAGAUUACAUGGAAUACCAAUUGCGAAGGCAGGUUACUACUAAUUGAUUGACGCUGAUGGACGAAAGCGUGGGUAGCGAACAGGAUUAGAUACCCUGGUAGUCCACGCCGUAAACGAUGGAUACUAGCUGUUGGGAGCAAUUUCAGUGGCUAAGCGAAAGUGAUAAGUAUCCCACCUGGGGAGUACGUUCGCAAGAAUGAAACUCAAAGGAAUUGACGGGGGCCCGCACAAGCGGUGGAGCAUGUGGUUUAAUUCGAUGAUACGCGAGGAAACCUUACCAAGGCUUAAAUGUAGAUUGACCGUUUUGGAAACAGAACU
rnacentral:rRNA from 1 species